AACAAAACAAAGUCGGGAACAAUGGAUAAAAGCCAGAAGGAGAACAAAACUAAAAUUAAAAUAUGAAAGAAUAUGCAAUAAACAUUGUGUAAGUGAAAAGCCAGCCACUUUAAAAAGAUGUUCCAAACCAAAACAUGAGUUACCAAAGCAGGCAAUAAAAAGAAAAGGUGAUCUAGAAUGCAAGAAAAGAGCUGAUGAAAGAAGUAAAUGUAAAGAAAAUAAUGUGGAGACUUCGACCAUG
rnacentral:lncRNA from 1 species